rnacentral:lncRNA from 1 species
UCCGACUAGAUCCUUGUCCCUAAACCUCCGGCCCCUCAGCAGCUCAGGGAGGUAAAUCGCAGGAUGUGCCCUUGUUGGCUCCCAGGUUCCCACAACUCAUUUGGACUCUUUCCGCAAAGAGAGCUCUCCUCACUGGGCGUUUGUUCACACCAAUGGCUUCCUCUCCAUAUGGCUCCCAGUGUUAACUCCAGGAAUCGAAC